CCUACGGGUGACAGCAGUGAGGAAUAUUGGUCAACGGGCGCGAGCCUGAACCAGCCAAGUAGCGUGAAGGAUGACUGCCCUACGGGUUGUAAACUUCUUUUAUAAGGGAAUAAAGUGAGGCACGUGUGCCGUUUUGUAUGUACUUUAUGUAUAAGGAUCGGCUAACUCCGUGCCAGCAGCCGCGGUAAUACGGAGGAUCCGAGCGUUAUCCGGAUUUAUUGGGUUUAAAGGGAGCGUAGAUGGUUUGUUAAGUCAGUUGUGAAAGUUUGCGGCUCAACCGUAAAAUUGCAAUUGAUACUGGCAGUCUUGAGUACAGCUGAGGUAGGCGGAAUUCGUGGUGUAGCGGUGAAAUGCUUAGAUAUCACGAAGAACUCCGAUUGCGAAGGCAGCUUACUAAACUGUAACUGACAUUGAUGCUCGAAAGUGUGGGUAUCAAACAGGAUUAGAUACCCGUGUAGUC
rnacentral:rRNA from 1 species